CUUACUUCAUGUUGCCUUCUGAAGUAUUUGGCUAACUUUCUGCAAUUUAUAUUCGUGGUCUAUGCUCUGUAGUUCUCUAUUACAGAAUGUUGAAGUGCCUCUUUUUUUAAAUGUUAUUCAGUGUGUUUUCAGGUUGGCUUUAUCUCAGGCUUGUAACUAGGCGUGUGGACACAAAUUCGCUUGACUGUCAUUUUAAUAUUCUCUGGAUUUUCUUGCCUGGAAUUGGAUUAUGUUACUAACUACUAUUUAAUUAGGUGUUAUAUGGUUACAGAUAUGUUUUGCUGCUAUUUGGUUCUCUAGGCUAUGAAGGGGUAUUGUUUGCUCUUCGGUAAUGCUGGGUUGUUGAGUCCUCGGUUAACAGCAGGAAACAAAUUGAUGCCGUACAUUUCAUUCAUGCCUUCCAGCUUACUGAAAGCUUCCCCCCUGUUCCCCUCUUGAAGACAUACUUAAAGAAUUGAAGGAGAAACUCACAGGGAAAGGGUGUGAGUUCGGGUGGAGAUACUAGUGCACAGAUUGAUGUAAAUGCACAGGAACUUGCUGCUUUGAAAGCUGUAGUUAGUUGUGUCCAAGAGUACAGGCUUGAACCUGACUAUCCUCUCGAUCCACUUCAGAAAAGGGGUGGAGAUUUUGGUAGACGUCAACACUCCAAGAAACAAAGAGCAAACUGAGGAUACGGUGGAUUUCUUUCUCACAGUGGCAAGGCAGCUCCCGGUAGGCUUGUUCCGCCUGUUUUCUGAUGUGUCGUGCACUUGUGAGCAAGACACAACAUUUUCUUUGACAGGGCAGCAUAUGGAGGAAUGCCUGAGAGAUAUCCUCUGGCUGGUCCAAACUCUUACGAUUAUCAAGUUCAUAGCCAGCCUGUUUUUGCUCAGCAACCAAAUGAUCAAAGAAUAUGCUUUUAUCCCCACGAUGUAGUUAUCAAAUGCAAGAUUUAUGUGCAACCUUAGUGAAUGUGCAGAGAAUGUAUUUGUGAGUGAAUGACAUUUUCCCACCCACGUUUGGCUAUAAAACACUUCUUCACCCCAAAUUAACAUAAGAAACCUUUCUUCAUCCAAAA